UCCGGUUGAUCCUGCCGGAGGCCACUGCUAUCGGAGUUCGAUUAAGCCAUGCGAGUCGAGAGGUGUAAGACCUCGGCAUACUGCUCAGUAACACGUGGACAACCUACCCUGAAGAGGGGGAUAACCCCGGGAAACUGGGGAUAAUACCCCAUAGGCUAUGGAUGCUGGAAUGCUCUGUAGUUGAAAGGUCCGCCGCUUCAGGAUGGGUCUGCGGCCGAUUAGGUUGUUGUUGGGGUAACGGCCCAACAAGCCUGUAAUCGGUACGGGUUGUGGGAGCAAGAGCCCGGAGAUGGAUUCUGAGACACGAAUCCAGGCCCUACGGGGCGCAGCAGGCGCGAAAACUUUACAAUGCGAGCAAUCGUGAUAAGGGAACUCCGAGUGCCCGUAAAAUCGGGCUGUCCGCCAGUGUAAAUAACUGGUGAAGAAAGGGCCGGGCAAGACCGGUGCCAGCCGCCGCGGUAAUACCGGCGGCUCGAGUGGUGGCCACUAUUACUGGGCUUAAAGCGUUCGUAGCUGGUCUGUUAAGUCUCUGGGGAAAUCUUCCGGCUUAACCGGAAGGCGUCUCAGGGAUACUGGCAGACUAGGGACCGGAAGAGGUGAGAGGUACUCCAGGGGUAGGAGUGAAAUCCUGUAAUCCUUGGGGGACCACCUGUGGCGAAGGCGUCUCACCAGGACGGCUCCGACAGUGAGGAACGAAAGCUGGGGGAGCAAACCGGAUUAGAUACCCGGGUAGUCCCAGCUGUAAACGAUGCGCGUUAGGUGUAUCGGUGACCACGAGUCACCGAGGUGCCGAAGAGAAAUCGUGAAACGCGCCGCCUGGGAAGUACGGUCGCAAGGCUGAAACUUAAAGGAAUUGGCGGGGGAGCACCACAACGGGUGGAGCCUGCGGUUUAAUCGGACUCAACGCCGGGAAACUCACCGGACAAGACAGCUGAAUGAUAGUCGGGCUGAAGACUCUACUUGACUAGCUGAGAGGAGGUGCAUGGCCGUCGUCAGUUCGUACUGUGAAGCAUCCUGUUAAGUCAGGCAACGAGCGAGACCCA
rnacentral:rRNA from 1 species